ensembl:snoRNA SNORA62 Small nucleolar RNA SNORA62/SNORA6 family
UCUGCACAUUGUUAGAGCUUGGAGUUGAGGCCACUGGCCGAUGAACUCACAAGUGUAGGUAGUGUGCUACAUGAGGGGCAAGUUUUUCGCUAACAUCACAAGGGUCUCUGGCCCAAUGAGUGGAGUUUGAUAGUAAUACUUGCUACAAAU